AAGAGAUACAGGCUGUACGAGAUCUUACAGAUCAACUGGAGUACUGUUCUUGGAAGAAAAAAAUCAGUUCAGACAAAACCAUACCAACAUCAAACUGCACACUGCCACAUCGCUACACUGUAAGUCACCUGCUGAACUACUCAUAACACUGCCCAGUGCAUCAAGGAGAAGGUCCUACAUCCAAGUACUAACCAUGUUUAGCCUGUGGAGACUGACAAAAUCACAGCAGAAGGGGCGUUGGACUAGAUGACCUUUAAAGGUCCCUCCCAACUCUAUGGAUUCUGUGAUUCUAUAAUGUGAGCACAUGGACUAUUCUGCU